AAAACUGUACAAAUCAACGGUCAGUCAGUUCGCUCUAGACCGCAUGCAGAUCGCUCGUGCGUCCAAUAAAUUCGUCCCGCGUGAUAAGUUCACAGUAGGCCACUUAGACCGUGUAGUGAUUUUAGAGGUCGGACAUUUGUGUGCAAGUAACAGUUCCUGGCCAGCUUGGAAUUAAUUCAAGUGGCCGACAUUACCUCCGAAAGUGACGAUCACGUGAACAAAUACUGUUCUGGACGGCAGAGCUCGGACGGAGUGGACUGCACGUGGAAUCUGGAUAAUAAUCCCAAUGCCAGUGACCAGUGGAUUAUUGGACUAACUGACUAUUUUGUUGUUCGCCGUCGGGAGAAAUUUUGCACAACGGGAAUUGCGGAUUGUGUUGCUCUCCGCAGGCGAUUGAGUCGCGAAACAAAAGCCAAAGGCGCGGCAGACAGUUCGUCACGAGACCGAAAGUGCGGAGAGUGUCGGUCGACAAGAACAAAACCGCAAUAUCAUCCGGAGUCAAGAAGAAGACCGAUAGGCGUUCCGUUCGGGAAAAGGAAGUCCCUACUGAGGGGCUUCUUUUUUCAUAUUUACAGUUUUGUUCUCGGAGCACGCUGAAACGACGAGCGUGAAGCGCAAGGCAACGACAGAGAAACGGGAAGAAUUCCACCAUUAGAGCCACCUCGAAAGACUCCCGUGCAGGGAAGUGCGGACCCCGUCAACGAGUGAACGGUCGCUCCGUCGAUACCGGUGCGGAAGGCCGGAGAAUCGGUACCUGGCUGGCUAAGAGCGAGCACCGUCAACGAGUGAACAGUCGGUCCGUCAACACCGGUGCGGAGGACCGGAGAAGCGGGCGCCUGGCUGGCUGAACGACCCUCCUACACCCAGUACGCCAAUCCGGAGGCGUUGACAGGGACGGCUCAACGAUGGCAGAAGGAAAAAUCUCUAGGCAGUUCGGUCAGAUGGUGGCGAUCCUGGGUCGAUCGGGUGCCGUAGGGCUGUAAACCGUGAGUCAGUGAUUGUAGUUUUAAGAUCAUGAUCAAAUUAGCCUAGGAGAGACAGGAACCCAGAGUAGGUUGAUGAGAAACGCUUUUCUAAUAUAAUGUGUUAAAAUGAA